rnacentral:rRNA from 1 species
GUCUACGGCCGCGCCACCUUGAACAAGCCCGAUGUCUGAUCGCGUGAAGCUAAGCAGGGUCAGGCCUGGUUAGUACUUGGAUGGGAGACCACCUGGGAAGCCCAGGUGCUGCAGGUG